ACGUACACUCCUACGGGAGGCAGCAGUGGGGAAUAUUGCACAAUGGGCGCAAGCCUGAUGCAGCCAUGCCGCGUGUAUGAAGAAGGCCUUCGGGUUGUAAAGUACUUUCAGCGGGGAGGAAGGCGAUAAGGUUAAUAACCUUGUUGAUUGACGUUACCCGCAGAAGAAGCACCGGCUAACUCCGUGCCAGCAGCCGCGGUAAUACGGAGGGUGCAAGCGUUAAUCGGAAUUACUGGGCGUAAAGCGCACGCAGGCGGUCUGUCAAGUCGGAUGUGAAAUCCCCGGGCUCAACCUGGGAACUGCAUUCGAAACUGGCAGGCUAGAGUCUUGUAGAGGGGGGUAGAAUUCCAGGUGUAGCGGUGAAAUGCGUAGAGAUCUGGAGGAAUACCGGUGGCGAAGGCGGCCCCCUGGACAAAGACUGACGCUCAGGUGCGAAAGCGUGGGGAGCAAACAGGAUUAGAAACCCUAGUAGUCCCAUGAU
rnacentral:rRNA from 1 species